rnacentral:lncRNA from 1 species
GGCAGGAUGGAGGAUUUGGGUGAGCAUCGGGUACCGGGGAGCCCUGAUCCCGAGCUUGCAGCGGGGUUGGAGCUCCAGGAGGUCGGGGGCUUCUUGGGGAUGCUGCAGAGGGGAUGGUGGAGGAGCUUGGGGGGUGAAGCUGGGUGUCUGAGCGAGCGCUUUGCCAAAAAUGGAGAGCCUUGAGGCAGGAAAUAGGCUUCUGGCGUGAGCGGCGGUGAUGCAAGCACAGCUCCACAAAAUGGGGACAAACCGCCCCAAGAUGAAGAGCACCGCAUCCGAGGGGGGCAGGGGGCAGCCCUGGGUGGGGAGAUGGGGCCGGGGAAGCGGCCGCCCUACGUGGGGUGUGAAAAGCCAGCUCCUGCUGCGAGGGAAAAGUGAAAAGAGAAAGUGCUGUGCCCUCCCUUAGCGUCGGAGGGGCUGAUCUGAGAAACGGGGCUGUGGUUUUGGGGGGGAGCGGCGGUGGGGUGAGGGUGCUUAGGGCCCCCGCCGCCCCUUGGGGCCCUGGCAUCCGGCUGGAAAGGAGAAAGGGCGAUGGCAGAAAGCGCCCUGCGGCCACUUCUGCUCCUCAGGGGCAGACACGGCACAAACCUUGUGCUGGGGGACAGGAGGAGGACUUCGGGGGUCCCAGCUCUGUCCUCCCCCUGCAGAUGCUUUGCUGGCAGAGCUGGAGCAGAGCUCCCGGCCGGCCUCCAUGGACUACACGCUGCUGGCCCCGAGCUCUGCACAGCAGGACACAGCCACGGCCAGACCCUCAGCCAACUGCAGCCAGAAGAAACAUGCCCCAGCACCCCCAAAGGUGAAGCUGCCGCCCCGGGCUCAGCCUCCCCACAAGGAUUUGGAGACCGUGUACAGCAGCCCCACGCUGA